AUCCCAUAGCAAUAGAAACCUAGUUAUGAUUGAGGCAGUGUAUACCUCGAGUAGGCUAGUUCCAUAGUAUCUCUGUCAUACACUAUCUAUAUAAAAUCAUAUCAUUGCGCGAGGCCCACGUUCUAUUACACUACUAGGCAGUGAGGAGGACCGAAUUUAGAACCCACGGCCAUCGUGCAUUCUGACCCCCCGAUUCAGAUAUGCUUAGAGACAGAGAGAGUGUGUGUGUGUGUGUGUGUGCGUGUAUGUGUGUGUGUGUGUGUGUGUGUGUGUGUGUGUGUGUGUGUGUGUGUGUGUGUGUGUGUGUGAGAGAGAGAGAGAGAGAGAGAGAGAGAAGUGCAAGGCGCAGUUAUUGAUUUUCACAGCACGUACCAUCAUGGAGCAUGGAGAUUUGCCAACGGGUUUCUGUGUCUCAAAGGCCCAUUUUUCCCCUCGGAGAAAAAAGUUCCGGUUGCUUUUUUAAAAAGAGAGAAUGUGUGUGGAACCAGAGACCGAGACCGAGAGAGAGGGGCGAAUCCGUUUCUGCGGUGAUACCGGAAGGGGAAAAAAAGACCUCUCUUUCAACAAGUCCCAGCGAAGCGCAGUCUCGUGUCUCGUCGCCGCUCUUCUGUCCGCCCGCCGGUCGAGUGGGAGAAGGGGACCAGUCAACUGUGCUUCCACGCUCACUUCUCAACCGUGUGCGUCGGUACGUUCUCUCACCAGCUUACCUCUGCCACUCUCUCGCAACACACACUCUCUCUCUCUCUCUCUCUCUCUCUCUCCCUCUCUCUCUCUCUCUCUCUCUCUCGCAACACUCUCUCUCUCUCUCUUUCUCUCUCCCUCUCUCGCUCGCUCUCUCUCUCUCUCCCUCUCACGGGGAGCUGCUGCAGUCUGUGUUCAUAGAAGACCCUCGAGAGCUCUCGAGUCCUCCUGUCAUUCCUUCCCGUUACCCGUCAGCUCGAGCGGAAAAAGUGGUCGAAAGCAAAAGUGCACCCGGUGGCGCAAUGUCCCCCAUUGGAAUACCAAAGAGAAGACUUGACCUUACACGCCGCUACAUUGGUGUCAGAAGUGGGAUGGCGCCCCCCAGUGGAGUGGAAGAAUGGAGCCGAAGAUGACUGCCCCUAGCGGAUGUGGAGGACCUGAUCAUCUGACCGCAGUGGGGAGAGGCACAGCGAUAUUCCAAUGCGAUAUUCCAAUGCAAUAUUCCAAUGCGAUAUUCCAAGCGAUAUUCCAAGCAAUAUUCCAAGCAAUAUUCCAAUGCGAUAUUCCAAUGCGAUAUUCCAAGCGAUAUUCCAAUGCGAUAUUCCAAGCGAUAUUCCAAUGCGAUAUUCCAAGCAAUAUUCCAAGCGAUAUUCCAAGCAAUAUUCCAAGCGAUAUUCCAAUCGAUAUUCAAAACAAUAUUCCAAGCGAUAUUCCAAUCGAUAUUCCAAGCAAUAUUCCAAGUGAUAUUCCAAGCGAUAUUCCAAGAGCCACAAAGGGGCUAGUUCUGGCCGUGCCUCCGUGCCCUGGGAGUAGCGCAAUGGGACAGCCAGCUCCGCACGACGACAGAGCGGCUGGACACAACUGCCUCGGAGCCCAGCCCAGCGAGGAAGGAGUCUCGACGGGACUUAAGAGAUGACAUGACUGGGGCGACAGUGGUACAGGAGGUAGAGAAGUCGGUUAGUAAUCAGAAAGUUGCUAGUUCGAUUCCCUGUCGAAGCGUCCUUGAGCAAGACUCUGAACCCCUAAUUGCUCCUGAUGUGCAGUGUGCCAUCAGUGUAAAUGUAAAAUGUGUAUACAUCCUUGUAAGUCGCACAUAUGUAAGUCGCUUUGGAUAAAAGCGUCUGCUAAAUGACUAAAUGUAAACAUUACACAGGCAAGGAACCAAAUGGCUAAAGUUUCUAAAAACAAAGACAGACAUGCCGAGGCAUCAGAAGAGCAAAGAGGCACAUUGUUGUCGUUGUUGACUAAAUUUGAAAAGUGACCGUCAACACCUCACAAUUCAAUUUGACUUGUGCUAAUGGAACAGAGUUUUAAAGAACCUAACUUUAGAUUAAGUGAAUUCAAACAAAAUUUGUAUUUCACAUACCAUUGUGAUCCAAUGUUUUUUUUGAUGUUCUGUGUGAAACCUGGAAAUGUCCCAAAUACUAUACUGCAUUCACUAAGGUUCAAUGUGAGGCUGCGCGACUGCUUGUUUAUUUUCUUUCACUUUAACGCAUUUUGGGGCGUUUGCGCAACUCGUACCUGAGAGCUAGUCUAUCCCUGUUUGAGACGUACGUAAGCAGUCGAGUUUGCAGUAAAGAUUUUAUGGAUUAUUUGUUUCUAUUGUGAAUGCAGGCAAUAAAAGCCACUGUGAAGAACCCCUGGUCCGAUUC
ensembl:lncRNA